CAACACAAACGCGAUUAUUCUUUUUUGUUUCUGAGGAUAAACCCCCCCACGUGGGAUUGCGACCCGCGCCCUGUUUUCUGUGGGGCGCCCCCGUUAGGAAUUUUGGACAAGGGGGGAAACCUCUAUCCCACCCCUGGCGGGUGUGUGAAAAAAGGCCCUUAGGGUUGAAAAACCUCUUCCGCAGGGGAUAUAAAGACAGUACCUGGGAAAGACACCCCGGGUUAAUUCCGUGCCAGCAGCCGCGGUAAUACGGAGGGGGUUAGCGUUGUUCGGAAUUACUGGGCGUAAAGCGCGCGUAGGCGGAUUAGAAAGUUGGGGGUGAAAUCCCGGGGCUCAACCCCGGAACUGCCUCCAAAACUACUAGUCUAGAGUUCGAGAGAGGUGAGUGGAAUUCCGAGUGUAGAGGUGAAAUUCGUAGAUAUUCGGAGGAACACCAGUGGCGAAGGCGGCUCACUGGCUCGAUACUGACGCUGAGGUGCGAAAGUGUGGGGAGCAAACAGGAUUAGAUACCCUGGUAGUCCACACCGUAAACGAUGAAUGCCAGUCGUCGGGUAGCAUGCUAUUCGGUGACACACCUAACGGAUUAAGCAUUCCGCCUGGGGAGUACGGUCGCAAGAUUAAAACUCAAAGGAAUUGACGGGGGCCCGCACAAGCAGCGGAGCAUGUGGUUUAAUUCGAAGCAACGCGAAGAACCUUACCUAGACUUGACAUCUCCUGAAUUACCCUUAACCGGGGAAGCCCUUCGGGGCAGGAAGACAGGUGGUGCAUGGUUGUCGUCAGCUCGUGUCGUGAGAUGUUGGGUUAAGUCCCGCAACGAGCGCAACCCUUAUUUUUAGUUGCUACCAUUCAGUUGAGCACUCUAAAGAGACUGCCCGGGUUAACCGGGAGGAAGGUGGGGAUGACGUCAAAUCAUCAUGCCCCUUAUGUCUAGGGCUACACACGUGCUACAAUGGUGAGAACAAAGAGACGCGAGACCGCGAGGUGGAGCAAAUCUCAUAAAACUCAUCCCAGUUCGGAUUGCAGGCUGAAACUCGCCUGCAUGAAGCCGGAGUUGCUAGUAAUCGCGAAUCAGCAUGUCGCGGUGAAUACGUUCCCGGGCCUUGUACACACCGCCCGUCACACCAUGAGAGUUGGCAAUACCCGAAGUCCGUGGGGCAACCAGCAAUGGAGCCAGCGGCCGAAGGUAGGGUCAGCGAUUGGGGUGAAGUCGUAACAAGGUAGCCGUA
rnacentral:rRNA from 1 species